CAGUCGCCGCGGUAAUACGUAGGGUGCAAGCGUUAAUCGGAAUUACUGGGCGUAAAGCGUGCGCAGGCGGUUGUGUAAGACAGGUGUGAAAUCCCCGGGCUUAACCUGGGAACUGCGCUUGUGACUGCACAGCUAGAGUAUGGCAGAGGGGGGUGGAAUUCCACGUGUAGCAGUGAAAUGCGUAGAGAUGUGGAGGAACACCGAUGGCGAAGGCAGCCCCCUGGGCCAAUACUGACGCUCAUGCACGAAAGCGUGGGGAGCAAACAGGAUUAGAUACCCGCGUAGUCCCUGUCUCUUAUAC
rnacentral:rRNA from 1 species